UGAGUGUUAGCUAAGCGGUUAAGCUAUUAGACUUCUGAUCAGAAGGUUGUGAGUUCAAAUCCCAACACUACCAA